UAUCUCUGUAGAGUCUGCAUAUCAAUAAGCGGAGGAAAAGAAACUAACAAGGAUUCCCCUAGUAACGGCGAGUGAAGCGGGAAGAGCUCAAAUUUGAAAUCUUCAAGGUUUGACCUUGACGAAUUGUAGUUUAAAGAAGUGUUUUCGGUUAGAGGAGUAGUAAAAGUUCUUUGGAAUAGGACAUCAUAGAGGGUGAGAAUCCCGUAUUUGACUAUUCUUUCUAGCUUUGUGAUACACUUUCAAAGAGUCGGAUUGUUUGGGAAUGCAGUCCAAAAUGGGUGGUAAAUUUCAUCUAAAGCUAAAUAUUGGUGAGAGACCGAUAGCGAACAAGUACCGUGAGGGAAAGAUGAAAAGAACUUUGAAAAGAGAGUUAAACAGUACGUGAAAUUGUCAAAAGGGAAGCGUUUGACACCAGUGUUGUUUUUCCGAAAAUCAAUUAAAAAUUGAUUCAUGCCAGGUUGUAUUGACCUUAUCAGCUUGCAAUUUGGUUUUGGGUCUCUUUUUGAUGCACUUUUCGGUUAACAAGUCAACAUCAAUUUCCUUUGCUGUAAAAAGGUAAGAGGAAGGUGGCUUCAAUUUCGGUUGAAGUGUUUAUAGCCUUUUAUCUCUGCAGUCGGGGAGAUUGAGGUCUGCAGCGUAGAUCCUUCGGGGCUAGAUACAUUUAUGCUAAGUUAUAGCUUUUCAUAGACAACUUGUUGACUAUGUUUAGUCAUGUAGCUUACUCGUAAGUGCUAUUUUACCUACGCUUAGGAUGUUGAAGACUCUACAGAGAUA
rnacentral:rRNA from 1 species